rnacentral:rRNA from 1 species
CCUACGGGUGGCAGCAGUGGGGAAUAUUGCGCAAUGGGCGAAAGCCUGACGCAGCGACGCCGCGUGAGGGAUGAAGGUCUUCUGAUCGUAAACCUCUGUCAGCAGGGAAGAACGGUCCCUGUGCUAAUCAGCAGUGAAUUGACGUUACCUGCAAAGGAAGCACCGGCUCACUCCGUGCCAGCAGCCGCGGUAAUCCGGCGGGUGCGAGCGUUAAUCGGAUUUACUGGGCGUAAAGCGCGCGUAGGCGGUAUGUCAAGUCAAGGGUGAAAUCCCCGGGCUCAACGUUGGAACUGCCUUUGAAACUGGGAGGCUGGAGUGUGUGAGAGGAAAGUGGAA